GGGGUUGUAGCUCAGAGGUAGAGCACUUGCCUACCAUGCAUGAGGCACUGGGUUUGAUCCUCAGCAUCACAU
rnacentral:tRNA from 1 species